rnacentral:rRNA from 1 species
UGGAUGCUCCAACUUGACGCAUGUCUUGUUGGGGAAAGUGUUUAGUGGCAUGGGGAUGGGGGUCGCGUCCUAUCAGCUUGUAGGCGGGGUAAUGGCCCACCUAGGCUUCGACGGGUAGCCGGCCUGAGAGGGCGGACGGCCACAUUGGGACUGAGAUACGGCCCAGACUCCUACGGGGAGGCAGCAGUGGGGAAUAUUGCGCAAUGGGGAAAACCCUGACGCAGCGACGCCGCGUGCGGGAUGAAGGCCUUCGGGUUGUAAACCGCUUUUGAUUGGGGAGCAAGCUUUCGGGUGAGUGUACCUUUCGAAUAAGCGCCGGCUAACUACGUGCCAGCAGCCGCGGUAAAU